rnacentral:rRNA from 1 species
CCUACGGGGGGCAGCAGUGGGGAAUAUUGGGCAAUGGGCGCAAGCCUGACCCAGCAACGCCGCGUGAAGGAAGAAGGCUUUCGGGUUGUUAACUUCUUUUAUCAGGGACGAAGCAAGUGACGGUACCUGAUGAAUAAGCCACGGCUAACUACGUGCCAGCAGCCGCGGUCAUACGUAGGGGGCAAGCGGUAACCGGAUUUACUGGGUGUAAAGGGCUUGUAGGCGGGAGUGCAAGUCAGAUGUGAAAACUAUGGGCUUAACCCAUAUCCUGCAUUUGAAACUGUACUUCUUGAGUGCUGGAGAGGCAAUCGGAAUUCGGGGUGUAGCGGUGAAAUGCGUAGAUAUACGGAGGAACACCAGUGGCGAAGGCGGAUUGCUGGUCAGUAACUGACGCUGAGGCGCGAAAGCGUGGGGAGCAAACAGGAUUAGAUACCCCGGUAGUC